rnacentral:rRNA from 1 species
GUCGAGCGGACAGAAGGGAGCUUGCUCCCGGAUGUUAGCGGCGGACGGGUGAGUAACACGUGGGUAACCUGCCUGUAAGACUGGGAUAACUCCGGGAAACCGGAGCUAAUACCGGAUAGUUCCUUGAACCGCAUGGUUCAAGGAUGAAAGACGGUUUCGGCUGUCACUUACAGAUGGACCCGCGGCGCAUUAGCUAGUUGGUGAGGUAACGGCUCACCAAGGCGACGAUGCGUAGCCGACCUGAGAGGGUGAUCGGCCACACUGGGACUGAGACACGGCCCAGACUCCUACGGGAGGCAGCAGUAGGGAAUCUUCCGCAAUGGACGAAAGUCUGACGGAGCAACGCCGCGUGAGUGAUGAAGGUUUUCGGAUCGUAAAGCUCUGUUGUUAGGGAAGAACAAGUGCAAGAGUAACUGCUUGCACCUUGACGGUACCUAACCAGAAAGCCACGGCUAACUACGUGCCAGCAGCCGCGGUAAUACGUAGGUGGCAAGCGUUGUCCGGAAUUAUUGGGCGUAAAGGGCUCGCAGGCGGUUUCUUAAGUCUGAUGUGAAAGCCCCCGGCUCAACCGGGGAGGGUCAUUGGAAACUGGGAAACUUGAGUGCAGAAGAGGAGAGUGGAAUUCCACGUGUAGCGGUGAAAUGCGUAGAGAUGUGGAGGAACACCAGUGGCGAAGGCGACUCUCUGGUCUGUAACUGACGCUGAGGAGCGAAAGCGUGGGGAGCGAACAGGAUUAGAUACCCUGGUAGUCCACGCCGUAAACGAUGAGUGCUAAGUGUUAGGGGGGUUUCCGCCCCUUAGUGCUGCAGCUAACGCAUUAAGCACUCC